GACGAACGCUGGCGGCGUGCUUAACACAUGCAAGUCGAACGGAAAGGCCCUGCUUUUGUGGGGUGCUCGAGUGGCGAACGGGUGAGUAACACGUGAGUAACCUGCCCUUGACUUUGGGAUAACUUCAGGAAACUGGGGCUAAUACCGGAUAGGAGCUCCUGCUGCAUGGUGGGGGUUGGAAAGUUUCGGCGGUUGGGGAUGGACUCGCGGCUUAUCAGCUUGUUGGUGGGGUAGUGGCUUACCAAGGCUUUGACGGGUAGCCGGCCUGAGAGGGUGACCGGCCACAUUGGGACUGAGAUACGGCCCAGACUCCUACGGGAGGCAGCAGUGGGGAAUAUGGCACAAUGGGCGGAAGCCUGAUGCGGCAACGCCGCGUGCGGGAUGACGGCCUUCGGGUUGUAAACCGCUUUCGCCUGUGACGAAGCGUGAGUGACGGUAAUGGGUAAAGAAGCACCGGCUAACUACGUG
rnacentral:rRNA from 1 species